rnacentral:rRNA from 1 species
UUCGUAGGCGGUGCGGUAAGUCGGAAGUGAAAUCUCUGGGCUUAACUCAGAGGCUGCUUUCGAAACUGCCGUGCUAGAGUGCGGGAGAGGCGAGUGGAAUUACAGGUGUAGCGGUGAAAUGCGUAGAUAUCUGUAGGAACACCCGUGGCGAAGGCGGCUCGCUGGACCGCAACUGACGCUGAGGAACGAAAGCUAGGGGAGCAAACA